GUAGAAUCAAGUAUAUGAAGGUUCACCUCUCCCUUAAUGAAGUUGAUACCAACGGAGUGAAAUCAAAGUCCGAAAAACAGCCUCUGCAGAAAGAAAAUGCUCAGCUUAAGAUCCAAAAGAAUCAGGAAGCUGGGACUGAAAGAAUGGGAGCAGUGGAAGGGGAGAAGCAGCUGUCAGCCACAGAGGAGAAAGUGAAAUUAGCUGCAGAAGAGCUUCGGAACUACAAACUAUGUGGAAAUGGUUCCUGAACAUGUUUCUCGAGGUCCUGGAAAUGAUUACACACCUCAGGAAGCAGUUUGGUCAAGGAGAAAUCACAUCAACAAGUAUGAAGAUCCCAUUUUAGAGACGCACUUGUUGUAACCAUGAGAAAUAUGAUAAGGAUACAAGGAAAAGAAGAUUUGAACUUUACAAUGAAAGAUCCUCACUGCAGAAUUAGAGAGCUGUCACCACAGUUAAGGAAACCGUGUCAAUGUGGAGCCCCACAGGCAUUAAAUAAUAAAUCCAAGAUGAUGUAGCAAUGGCUUUGAGCUUUCUGUACUGUCCUCCUAAUGUGAAAUGUGUCUUCUAUGAUUGGGUCGUAUGUAUGAGAAUUCAGUUCUUGUGAUGGGAACCUGGCUAAUUAACAUCACGCUCAACAUCGUACUUCAUCUGAUGAAAGCCAUUGCACACCCAGGAGAAGAGUAGAAGAAACACAAGAACAGCUGCAACAGUCAGAGCUCACCUUCAGACACCAGGUAGCCUGAACUCUGCCUAGUAGUUCCUAAGUGCUUCAGCACCUAACGCAGAUGAUCAUAACGGGACACUGAAUCUCUCCACAUGGGUUUUAUUGAUGUGCUGACUGUUUCUGAUUGCUCUUUGUGAGAAGGCAUUUCAGGACAACUGGGUAAGAAUGUUACCUCUCCUCCUCUUGUGCACACCCCGCCACAAGUAAACGUAGAUGUGUUUCUCUCUCAAGUUCGGGGCUCAUGAUCUGGAGAAGGCAGUGGUGGAGCAGAGCAGGGAGGUCGCCUACUUGAAAUGCAGGUACAGGAUUUUGACAUAUUUCUUUUAAGGGUGCUGUGACGUUUUUAAAAAGGCUAAACCAUUUGGUGUCCAAUGGAGGCCUGGUUGUGGUAACUCUUAGUGAAAUUGACUCAUCUCGAUCUUUAAGACUGGAAGUCAUCCAAAGACAGAGGCUUCCAGAGGAAUUCAGGAGGCACAAACCAAUGGCACGAGGACCUGACAAGGAGAUCCCUCCAUGGAGAGUCUAUGCAACCCGGAAUAAACCUCCAUCCCUUCUUUGGCCUCUAUCAAAUGCAGAACCUGGAGCAGCUUCGGUGAGGAACAAGAAUUCAGUUCCUACUAUGGACACAGAGAAGAUCAACGGAAAUGAUGUGACAAUUUUCAGUUGUAACUCUCUCUCUGGAAUCUUUUGUCUCUUUAUACAGCAGUCUCUCCUGGAGUUGUCUUUAGGUUAUGUGUUCUGACAUAUAUCUAUGGUGUUAUUUAUUUUACAAAGAGUAAAACUCUUUCCCAAGA